UACGGGAGGCAGCAGUGGGGAAUAUUGCACAAUGGGCGCAAGCCUGAUGCAGCCAUGCCGCGUGUAUGAAGAAGGCCUUCGGGUUGUAAAGUACUUUCAGUCGUGAGGAAGGUGUUAAGGUUAAUAACCUUAGCAAUUGACGUUAGCGACAGAAGAAGCACCGGCUAACUCCGUGCCAGCAGCCGCGGUAAUACGGAGGGUGCGAGCGUUAAUCGGAAUUACUGGGCGUAAAGGGCACGCAGGCGGUUAAUUAAGUUGGAUGUGAAAUUCCCGGGCUUAACCUGGGAAUGGCAUUCAAGACUGGUUAGCUAGAGUCUUGUAGAGGGGGUAGAAUUCCAUGUGUAGCGGUGAAAUGCGUAGAGAUGUGGAGGAAUACCGGGUGGCGAAGGCGGCCCCUGGGACAAAGACUGACGCUCAUGUGCGAAAGCGUGGGGAGCAAACAGGAUUAGAUACC
rnacentral:rRNA from 1 species